rnacentral:lncRNA from 1 species
UAAUCCUGGAUAUUCUGCCAUCUCAAGGCCCUCAGCCAGAUGACAUCUGCAAACUCUGCUUUGAGAAACCAUGUAAUAUAGGGUAUAGGGCUAUUGAUACGGAAAUCCUUUGUAUGUGUAUCUUUGGGGGUGGGGGUCAUUAGCUUACCACAGCCAUCACAUCAUGUACACUAUUAUGCUUUCCUUUUUGGUCUCUUAUUUUUCUUAUUUCAUUUAUUAUUCUUUUCUAGAUGGGGUCUGGCUUUGUUACCCAGGCUGGAGUGCGGUGGUGCAGUCAGAGCUUACUGCACUCUUGAACACUUGGGCUUAAGGGAUCCUCCUGCCUCAGCCUUCCAAAGUGGUUAAAUUACAGGCAUGAGCCAUCUCGCCCAGCCACCAGCCAAUUUUCAGGUUUUUUUUUUUUUGUAGAGAUGGGGUCUCCCCAUCUUGCCCAGGCUGGUCUCAAAUUCCUGGACUCAAUCAGUCCUCCUGCCUCAGCCUCCGAAAGUUCUGGGAUUACAGACGUGAGCCACUACCCUCAGCCGAGAAUUGCCAACACUACGUGGAAUAAAAGUGGUAACAGUGUACAUCUUUGCCUUGUCCCCAACCUUGGGAAAGGAAUCUCACUUUUUGACCAUGAUGUAUGAUGUUUGCUCUAAGGUUUUGUAGGUACCCUAUUGAGGAAGUUUUCCAACAUACUGUUUUCCAUAGUGGGUGUGCCAUUGUACAUUCUCACCACCAAGCAUAGGAGGAUUACAAACUCUCUUGCCUGUGAUGUAGGUUCACUUCGCACUGGUUACCAAAUGUCUGACUCCAGUGAGACAGAACCCAUGCACACAAGUUCAAUAAAGUGAGUUUACUACUGACAGGCAACAAGGGGCAGUAGAAGCCUAGGAUUGAUUCAUUGCAAGCUGGUCCCCCAAGGCUCAGGAAAACUGCUUGGGGAAGAUGGAGUCUUAUCUACUGGUGUCCCACCGGCACUGAUGCUGACGGACCUCAGAGAGCACCCAUCCUAGGUUUUAUGGCACAUGGCCUCGUGAUGAGCCACCCUAAAGCACUGAAGGAUAUCCUGUUUUUUGAAAGAGGGGCAGGGGACUCUGGAAUGGAGCCCAGGCUGCUUGGGCCAGUUUCCUCAUUUCAGGGUAUUACCUUCCCAAUACAUUCUGAAGUUGUUCUUGAGAACUACAAGCAAGGAAGGAGAGAAAAAUAAUUUAAGGUUGUUCCUUUAAUGUAUACAUCCCACGGUACCUUACUUCUACAAAACCAAAAGACAGCUCAGGAAGCCUUAUCAAAUUUGCUGUCUCCACAUCUCCUGUUGGAACUUUCAAGUGCCAAUUAACAAUAUCAAGUUAAUUAAGAAGAAAAUGGAUGGGGGAAAAUAAUGGAGAUUCAAAGGACUUCUCUCAUGAAGGUGGACAUUUUUAAAUGGUCAUUAAGAAAAAAGGUGAAUAAAGCAAGCAUUCAUGA